rnacentral:lncRNA from 1 species
CUCUGUUAAGCUGCUGCUGAAAUGGGGCAGAAGUGAGCCUCCAGAGUUGUCCUGAUCUCUCUCCCUCUCUUCAGUUUUCCACAAAGCUCAAGGCAGAUAUUCUAUGGCUGGAGAAUAUGGGAAACAGUCAAGACUGAAUUUUUCCAGAUACUUGCAGAAAUAAGUUCUGAUGUCAUCUCAGAGCUUUUCUCAGGUAACUGAAGUCAUGCCUAUGAACCUUCCUUGUCAUGGUCCCAGUGAUGGAGAGCCAGUCAGCGCAAUGCCUGUAAAUGCCAGAAGGACAUAUGGAUAGUUCUGUGGGAAACAAUCACCUUUUCUCUGGUGAGUAGAUAUAUUUGUUUUAGAAUAAAACAAACCAUAGCUACUGGUUUUUAACUCA